CUGAAGUGGGGGAUUAGAGUUAAGAGAUUUGAACUUUGGAUUUCUAAGCAAGUCUGAGUAUGAGACCAUGGGAACCUUUCAAGUUGCACUGAAUGCAUUUUGCACUAUGAUAUGUUUACAAGCCUAUGGGAGCCAUGGAAUGGAAUGUGAUGGUUUGAAUAAAAUGGUCUCUAUUGAUUCAGAUGGAAUGGCAUCAUUAGAAGAUGUUGUUGGAAUUGGCCUUGUUGGAGUAGCUGCAUGUGGAUCAAGGUGAAGAACUCUCUCAUCUUCUUCUUCAGCCUGUAUGCCACCAUACUUAUUGC
rnacentral:lncRNA from 1 species